rnacentral:lncRNA from 10 species
UGGCUGGCACACGAGGGCCGUCGGUAAACUCUUGGAUGAACCAGGCUCAGAGACACACAGUGCUCAAGGUCACACAGCGAGUCAGUGAGGGAGGGGAUGUGAAACCAGGGCCAAGGCUGCAGCGGACAGCAAAUCCAAAGAAGUGUUCCACUCAAUUCUGGGAACUCCCAACCCCAGGCUCUGGGGAAGGAGCAGACACACACCAAUGUGCGAAUGCAGCUGCAACACUCGCUGGAAGGAGAGCUGCACAGGGGACUAUGACACUGCAGUGAGAACGAAGAAACCGACUCCAUACGUGAGCAUGGAGGAGCAGCCCCAGCAUGGCAGUGAGCAGCACAAACCAGUCAUUGAAAGCAUCAUUGUGACACCAUUUAUUGAAAACGUACACACAUGCAGAAUAAUGCGUUAAGGAUUUAUACAUAUAGAGUAAAAGUAUAACAACAUGCAUGGGAAAAUGAAGUCCUGGCUACUUCUGGAGGCGGGCAAAGGGGACAACAAGGUCAAGAGAGUUCCAUGAUAUCUGUAGUGUUUCCCUCCUUAAGCUGGGCUGGGGAGGGUAUCAGAGGGACUUGACGCUGCCUCCACUCUCCUAACUCCUGGAGCUUGUGCCCUGGAGAGUGAGCAGGAACGUGACCUGCAUGCAGCCAAUAGCAUACGCAAAGCAGGGGAAUACUAUCGGGGCCGCGCUUCACCAGCUCUCUUGACGCCUCCGUCAGCUGCGCACUGUGCAGGAGUGAGCUGCCGAGACUCCUGCAGCUGCAGGGAGGUGAGCUCUGCCAGUAACCUGGGGGGUGCUGAGAUGCAGAUCCUUUCCUAGUUGAGCCUCUGAUGAGAAGCCAGCCCAGGUCAGCAGGUGGACUGCAGCCUAGUGAGGGCCUGGGCAGAGGCCGUGGCUGAGCUAUGCCUGGGAUCCUGGCCCAUGGAAACCGUGAGAUACUAAACACGUGUGGUUUCAAGGGGCUAGGUGUGUGGCAGUUUGUGAUACAGCAUAGAAAAUCAAUGCCAAGGCUACCAUGGUGUUGCUUAUAUUAUUAGCUAUAUUUUUAGAUAACUGAAAUAUUCAUAAUUAAGAGGUUAAGAAGAGCCCCUGUGGUGGCCUCACCUUCAGGAAGAAGAGACAGAGUGCAGGGCGUGAGCCUGGAGGCUGGGAGGCCCAGGAGGAGGCUGGCACAAAGGAGAGGGGACAGGCCAUGCAGUCCAAGGCAUCUCCAGGCUGCUUCUCCACACCUGCCCAGUCUUUCCCGUUUCUGCUGAGAGGGGGAAGUGGUGUCCCAUGUGGAAUGGGCAUGGAUCUGAUCAUUUGUGAGACUCAGCGCCCAUCGGGAUGUCUGGUGGCUGUGGAUUCACACUGCUAUUGGGGAUGACCUCUUGUAUAUCCUUCUGCCUGUUUCCUUCCACAGCUUGUUAUGUGAAUCUCCUAAUUUGAAAUCAUUUGCAACUCAUUCACACUUUGUAAAGCCUCAUGCUGCCCACACACACUUGCCUGCAGCCUGGACAGAGCAGUCAGUGUUCACCAAGUGAGAUGCUAACCAGCUAGUUGUUCCAACACCACUGGAUUGGGUAACCCUCCACCUUUGCAUUGAUUCAGGACACCUCCUUUAUCACCCAUUAUCUUGUAAAUAAUAGGGUCUGUUGCGGGUUUACUGAGUCUGUACCAUUGAUCUGUUUAUUCUUACAGCAGAACCACAGGGUUUGAACGACUGUGAUAAUAGAAUCUUGUUUAAUAUCAGAAAGCAUUUAUCUCUCUCUCUCUCUCUCUCACACACACACACACACACACACACACACACACACACCUCGCUUUAUUUUUCCUAAUUUUUGACUUCUUC